UACGAAGGGUGCAAGCGUUGCUCGGAAUUAUUGGGCGUAAAGGGUUGGUAGGUGGUCUUGUUUGUCUAAGGUGAAAUCCCAUGGCUUAACUGUGGAAGUGCCUUAGAAACGGCAAGACUAGAGUCCUAGAGGGGUUUGUGGAAUUCCCGGUGUAGCGGUGAAAUGCGUAGAUAUCGAGAGGAACACCUGCGGCGAAGGCGGGUUGCUGGGCUGACACUGACGCUGACAGCGCGAAAGCUAGGGGAGCGAACGGG
rnacentral:rRNA from 1 species